CACGGAGCCGCCCGCCCCGGUCCCGUCCCCGAGCCCCCCGCGCUCACUGUUGUGCAGCCAGCUGGUGAAGGUGCUUUGUGUCUCAUGGGCCUUGUUUGAGGGUGAAUUCAUUGAUUGAUACCUGGGCAGUCACAGGGAACAAAAACCAGAGCGUUCCUGCAUCCAAGGGAGAUGGCCCCAGUUUUGGAAGGAGCCGCUGUGCCAGGACCUGUCUGCAGGGCUGAGGGCUGGGAUGAUGAGCAGCAGAAGCAUUUCACGGGCAAUUGGAGAUAAAUACCAGCGCCGUGCAAUGAGCAGCGAGAGACAGCUGCAGGUAGGGGCUGGGACAGUGCCUGUGCAGAGCAGGGGGGGCUGUGAGCUCUCUUAUCUCAGUCCCCAGCCACGCUCCUACUGCUCACAGGGCUGGGGAUCACCCCUUGUCACAGGGCUGCCCACAGGACAGACAGACAGGUGGGGUGGUCACCACACAGAGGGUGCUG